rnacentral:lncRNA from 1 species
GGGAUGACUCGAUUCAUCCUGGGAGCUAACAUCACAGGCUUUUGUGGGGCAGUAUGUGAGCUGUGAUUAGCGGCAGGUGCUGUCAGCUCACCGCCCUGCUGUUUGGUCAUCAGCAGCCAUAUUCAUGGACUAAAAGCGUGGUUUCCGGCACACCCUGGAUCCAGGCGGUGAAGCCAUCUCAGCCUGAAGCUGCCUUUUGGGCGGAUCACACUGCCGGGUAAUCUGCACAUGGCAUCCUCUCGGGCCUGCAGUCUCCUGCCUUCGCAGGGUCCCACGGCACCGGCUUCCCUUCCAGGGGUGGGGAACAGCAGGCUGGAGGGCAGCAGGAGCCCCACUUCUCCAGGGCUGCAUCGGGGACCGCCCCCGCCGCAACCCGGGAGCCUGCGCCCACCAGGCGUUUUGGAGACACACUGGAAGAUGCACUCUUCAGCCUGUCACCCAGGCCCUGGGCAGGGUCGCUGCAAGUUUGAGGACGGUCUAAGCUACACAGUGAGACCCAGUCUCAGAACAGAAUAAAACAACGC